UUUCGAUUCGAGGGAUUUCGAUCCUUUUUCAUGAUUUCGGAAUUUCCUUUCUCUUUUUCCAUCUCCAACCCAUGUGAAUGGACUCAUUUGCCCCUGUCUUUCUCUCUCUCUUCUCCCUCAUCUCCCAAGCCGCCGCCGCCAGCCUCCUUCCCCUGCUCUCUGAUCUUUUCUUCUCUCUGAAUCAGGCGCAGCAACCAUGGUUGCUUUGCUAUGUUCUUUUGCACGAAGCAAAUCAGAGCAGCAAGCCGCACCUCCUGUCCUUGCUACCGCUGGAGGGGCGAGUGGACGAGGAGGCCCCGCGCUCGCCCGCUUUUGCCGGCGCAUGUGAGUCCGUCCCUGCAGCUCGCACACUCUUCAAUCCUUGCUCGCGCUGUGCUGCGCGCAGAAUGGUAGAACAGCCGGACCGUACCGGACGGAGCGGAACGUGACCUACCUGUGCCACUAUCGGCCGUGCCAGUGAUGGCCGCCACUGCACGGGGACCAGAAACGGCAGUCCGGCGAGCGGCAGCCAUGGGGACGAGCGGCGACGCUCGGGCCCCAGCGACGGCUGUCCACGAGGGCGAGCGCUGGCCGGCCAUGGGGAUGAGUGGAGGUGGCUAGCGCCGGCCGGCCCCCAGCGAAAGCCGGUGGGGAGCAGUAGCAUCUGUCGGGAGGUUGAAGAAGACCAAAGAUGUGGGACCCACAUGUCAGUGGUGGAGGAAGGAAAGGGUAUGGAUAAGAGCAAGGGCAAAUAUGUCCCUUCACAUGGGUUGGAGAUGGAAAAAGAGAAAUAAAAAUUCAAAAUCGUGAGAAAGGGUCGAAAGCCUCCGAAUCGAAGAAGUUCGCACGCACAUGGUUAUAUCAGCUUAGGCGUGCGAAUUUAGUCUCAAAUUUUGAAAUAUCUCAUUUCCUUGGAGUUCUCUCUAUCGGCUUUCUUCCUGGGAUUUUUGCUCCACGCGGCUAUUGUAGCUUGCGAUAAUUCAAGACGGUGUUGCGGGCUAGUGGAAUUUGGGCAAUAACUUAAACCACCAGAGCUGCAUUUCUAGCAACAGCAAGGAAUCGAAGUCUCAAACACUAUCAGUAUCAACUCUGUCUCUUGGUGCCUGUCUGGAUAGGGCAAGGCGAGAGCACUGCGACGACGAUACGGUGUUUGGAUAAAUGCCGCACCAGGUUUGGUGUGUAGCAGCCAUGGACUUCUCAUUCCAACAGAGAGGGGACACGGUUGAUGACCGCCUCUGAAAACGACGGCUUAUUAUCCAGGAAAUUGGCUUACUGGCUUCUGGGUACUUGAGGAUGAGAUGUUCCUUUGCAGCUGUAAAUUUUAGCUAAAAUGACUUUGUCGGAGCAGAGUUUCCAUGGCUUCCUUGGUGGAGACUAGGGAGGACAGGUGAUUCUCAAGGAAGGAUUGAUUCAAAAACAGAAUUGUCAGGAAGAAAUCAAGGAGACACGGCAUCCUAGUUAAGUUAGAGGCAGUAUAUAUGGCUGAUAUUGCUCUGGGUAGCGUGGAGAGGAUCUUCAAAGCCAGGUUGGCGAUCAAGAAGGGGGUGGUGACAGGUCGCCAGAACAGGAAGGAGUGCCGAGACAUCGAGAGGUCCGUGGCCAGAGUUGGAGCUCUCCUAUCAUUGCUCAACGAGAUGACGGAGACACUGAAGCACUCAGCAAUAAGCGGGCCACUGGAGGAUCUGGCGGAGAGCAUGGAGGAUGCCCUCGAGCUCAUCGAAGGCUGCGACGGGAGGCACACCCUUCAAUUUAGCCUACCAAAUUUAAGGAUCGGGACUUAUAAAAGUCGAGCCAUAAUAAUAUACAAUUUUGAAUUAAAAAGUAGUUGGAUUUAAUUGGAUUGUGAAGAUAGCAUUAGGGCCAUGGCCCUUUACCACUAGUGCGCCGCUUAUUAGGUGCCGGGGGCAUGGCCAAAGAGCUAGAUCGGGUGCUUGACGAUAUACUGCUGAAACUGACGCUGGGAAACAUCGCUACCACUGUGCACGUCACCAUUACUUUGGCACAUAGUGUUCGAUAUGGCGUUCCUCAUGCUCCACGCAUGCAGCCACAGGUACGAUUGCUUCCCCGCAUCUGCCACUUCUGUUAGUAGUUACCUUCAGUUCAAUUUUCUAUUUUAGGAUGCAGGAGAGGUGGUGGGUAACUACAUAUGGCGCAAAUCCCUCUUUCUCUCUAUUUCAAAUUAACUUCACAAUUUUCAACACUUAAAAAUUUAGUUACUUACGGUAUUUUAGUUGUCAUUAGCUAAAAGUGUUCUGACAGGAUAAUCUCUGCAAGCCAACAGAAUCAUUACGUGGUUGAGGUGAAUUUUGUUCUUCCACUGACCUGUUGCACCAUGAUUAUUCCCAUAAGCAUUUUAAUGAAAUACAGUAGAAGCAAUGAUAUUUCGCCUGCCAGAAUAAUUUGAACUGCACAUCUUUAUCUAUUGAUGGAUCAAAGGAUAUCAACCCCAUGCAGUAACUAGCAUGGCUUCUUGCAUUGGCAUUAAUUUCUGUGAAUUGCAAUGGCAGAUCUGGAAUUAACAGCGAGAUAACAUUGCUAAUAACAGAAAGCGAGGAGCCCUAUUAUACUUUGUCAAGCAAGAUAGCUCCUUCUGUCCUAGAAUCUGAGCAAUCAAACUUUAUUACUUAAUGUUUGAAAUUAUCUAUAAUGACUGUCAAAGCCAUAUUACUAGAUCCCUCAUUAAAGGCCAUUCAUAUAUCAAAUUGUAUAUCUUCACAGUAAUAUGAGGCGCGCUAAUAUAAGUGGUGAUCAAAGCCAUAUCUUGUUAGACAGUAAGGGGUAUUUUUUCCAUUAUAAUUUCCUCCAGGCAGGCUGGAUAUAUCCAUAUUAUUGUAAUUGCUCUUUCAAAUAGUAUGCAUGGUUUAUUUUGAUAAAAAAUUAUAAUCAUACUAUUUCAAAUAUAUAUUUAAUUAUGACUAUGUCCAUGUCCAAAACAUCACAUCGACUGAGAUGAACUCUUUUAAAGUUUUACGAUUGCAUGCUCAAUCUCCUUGUGAUGUUUUCACAACUGGAUUAACUGAGUUUAUUUCGCCUGAAUUGGAUAUCACUAUAGGAGAUUUUACAUUGGAAUGCACCAUCGGAGGAGGUGACCUUUCUUAUGUAUUGAAGGUACUCCAUAUGCUUAGUUGGCUAUUGGUUUUUCAUGUGUUAAUUGUAAUUGCUGGUUCACUUCAGUA